UCUUCAAUAGCUCAGCGGUAGAGCAAUUGGCUGUUAACCAAUUGGCCAUAGGUUCAAAUCCUAUUUGAAGAG
rnacentral:tRNA from 1 species